rnacentral:rRNA from 1 species
UACGUAGGGGGCAAGCGUUGUCCGGAAUUAUUGGGCGUAAAGAGCGCGUAGGCGGUCCGAUAAGUCGGCUGUGAAAGUCAGGGGCUCAACCCUUGAAAGCCGGCCGAUACUGUCGGACUAGAGUCCGGAAGAGGCAAGUGGAAUUCCCGGUGUAGCGGUGAAAUGCGCAGAUAUCGGGAGGAACACCGGUGGCGAAGGCGGGUCUCUGGGCCGAUAUUGACGCUGAGGAGCGAAAGCGUGGGGAGCGAACAGG